UGACAGAAUUGGGAUCCAGCCUUGUC
rnacentral:piRNA from 1 species